UCUCUUCAUUGUUUGUUGGAAUUUCAUAAUCCUCUAAUAUGAUCUUCCAUACUCCAUUGUUGAUUGACUUCAAGUAUAACUUCAUCUUGUUCUUCCAGAAGUCAUACUUUACUCCAUCGAACCUGGGAGGUUUGUUUGACGCAAGACCAGUGUUGAAUUCACCAUUUGGUGUCAUAGUUGUUGUUGUAAGAUGUUAGUCAAACUUCAACGGUACUUGGCUCUGAUACCACUUGUUGGAUCGAGAUCCGAGGCUAUAAGGGGAGAUAAUAGCCUCUUUUCGAUUUAUGCAAGUUAAUAGCGGAAUUACCUGCACACACUUAAGUACACAAAUGGUUGUAUAAUAAUAAUAGUAUAAUAUUGUUAGCAAUAUAAUACUAUUAUAUCAUUUUAAAGAAUAUAAUAUUAUAUCUUAUAAUAUUAUAUAUAUUGGACUUGCCUUUUGCUCUUGAAGUUUACUACAGUAUAUGAAUACGUAGUCAACUUUUUAGAUGGUGUUUUAUAAACAACUAUAGUAUAUGAAUACUAAGUUAUAUUAUAAACACAAAUUAUAUUAUAGAGUAAAUGACCAGAUAACUGGAUAUAUUGAUAAGCAAGUAAAUGACUAGAUAACUGGAUAUAUUGAUAAGCAAGUAAAUGACCAGAUAACUGGAUAUAUAUAUGAUAAGUAAAUGCUUGAACAAAUAUAUGAAUAAGGAUUUAAAGCAAUUAAUAUAACCUCAGAUAGUUGACCAGAUAACUGGAUGAGGGAUCUGCGUAAAGUAGUCAACCUCUGUAUUUGACCAGAUAACUGGAAGAGAGAUCCUUUUCAAUUAAGUGUUGUUUAGUUGUUUUUAGAUGAAAGAUAAAAACUAGAGUUAACAAAGAACAACACAAGAGAUUUAUACUGGUUCACCCAAACAAGGGCUAGUCCAGUCCCGACCAACUGUCAGAAUUCACUCGCCUAAAGGUUAUGGCAAAACCUUAGAGUAUCAAGGAAACUCUUAAGAACCUCUCUAAGCUUUAAGGCUAGUUCGCUUAGGAACCAGUCUUUUACGGGUAGACUCACACCUUAGAGUAUCAAGGGCACUCUUAAGAACCUCUAACUUUUGCGGGUAAGUUAGUACCUUAGAGUAUCAAGGAACUCUUAAAAACCUCUCUAAGCUUUAAGGCUACUUCGCUUAGGAACCAGUCUUUUACGGGUAGACUCACACCUUAGAGUAUCAAGGGCACUCUUAAGAACCUCUAACUUUUACGGGUAAGUUAGUACCUUAGAGUAUCAAUGAACUCUUAAAAACCUCUGAAAUCUUUCAAGGUAGACUCGACCUAAGAGUUUUCCCGGAAACUCUAUAAAACCAAACUAGAGCUUUAUGGUUGAGCUCAAAAACCUUCUCUCACACUUUGGUACUAUUGAGACAACCCUCUCAACCAAAGUGGACACACACAAGAGGUGAUUAGAGGAGUGGAAUAUUAAAGCAAACAACACUUCUUACUUGUAAAGAUGAACAAGAAGAUUAGAAGAAGAAGUUGGAGAGCUUUUGAAGCUUUGGAAAGCUAGGACACUUGAGCACUUGAAAGCUUGGAAGCUUGGAGGCAAAAACGUGUGGGCAAGUGUGGAGUGAAUGCUCUUGAGUUUGCUUGUAGUGUGGUAAGUGAAAAUGAGGGGUUUACCCUUCUAUUUAUAGCCUUGGCCACUCAAUGUCCACCCUUGGAUCUUCAAUGGAUGGCUCCUUGAUUUCUCACAUAAAUCCAAGCUUUGUCUUUGAUCUUAUCUUGAAUAGUGCUUUUAUUGGAUAGAGUUUGUUGGAGAAUCUUAUCUUUGUAUAAAUUCAAACUUGAAUAGUGUUUUGUCCCCUUGGAAUAUUAUACCUUGAAUAAAGUGUCAAAAGAUAAUAAUAAUAAUAUUCAAGGUAAAAAUGCAAUUAUUUCAAAUAAUAUUCAAGGUGAAAAUGCAAUUAUUCCAAAUAAUAAUAUUCAAGGUGAAAAUGCAAUUCUCCCAAUUUGACUUUUAACUUUGACUUAAACCCUUAACUCAAAUCAUUAAUUAAUUAACUGGAGUUAGGUUUAAUAUCGAUUGACUAUUUAACCCAUAUUGAUUAAUAGUGUAAUUAGGGUUUAAAUUGACAUGAUUAAAAUAUAAUCCUAUGUCGACAAUUUUGAUUCUACACUCGCAACCCCGCGAGCCUACUGGUAGCAGAUUUCGUGCUUCAUCAGGAACUAAAUUCCAGGUCUUGUUAUCAAUCAAAGCUUUAUAUUCUUCUUUCAUUUUUUGAAGCCAAUGCGGUGUUGCCAUGGCUUGUUUAUAGUUCUUAGGUGUAUCUUCUAAAUUUUUAACUACCUCUACCACCAAAGCCUUUGGUAGGUUAACUUCAAAAAUAUUAUAUUUUGUUGGAAAUUUUGAAGUUCUACCUCCUCUUCUUAGAUGAGUGUGUGUGUUAAACUCAUUUACUAAGUUUUGAGGUAUUGUUGUAACUACUGGUUGAGGUAUUGCUGUAGCUACAGGUUGAGGUAUUCUAGUGGCAGAUUCUUCUGUUUCCUAAAUUUCCGAAUGAUGACUUCUUCCUUCAUUUUCAGUUACAAUUGUUGGUGUUGUAGUGGGAAUCCUAGUGUUAUCACUUAUAUCUUCCGAGCCUUGAUUUUCUCUUGAAGUUCCUUGAAUGUCACUUAUUGUUCGAGAAUUCAGAGUUUGCGCAUUAUUGUUUAUUUUCAUGGGAAGUGGAAGUCUAAUGUUAUUUAGACUUGUUUUCUUAACCAUAUCAUUUAUAUCUGAUUUGAUCUUAUAGUCUUUGUAUGGAAAAGUAUCUUCAUGAAACUGGACAUUCCUGGAUAUUAUUAUCUUAGAAUCCUUAAGUCUAAAGCAUUUAUAUGCUUUAUGAGAUUGUGAAUAACCUAAGAAACAACAAUAACAAGAAGUUGAUUGAAACUUGUUUCUUAAAUGUAUAGGUAUGAGAGGAAAACAUUAGUGACCAAACACUCUAAGAUAUUUAAUAUCUGGUUCUCUAUCAUAUAACAAGGAAUAAGGUGAAUUAUAACCUAAUUUCUUGGAAGGUAAUCUAUUUAGAGUAUACACAGCUGCACUGCAAGCUUCUACCCAGUAGUCUUUUGGUAUUUCAGAGUGAAAGAAGAAACACCUUGCCAUUGACACAAGAUGUCCAUGUUUCCUUUCUACCAAACCAUUUUGUUCAGGAGUGAAUGGAGUAGACAAUCUGUGUUUAAUUCCAUGUUUCUUACACAAAUUACUAAAUUUAGCAUUCAAAAAUUCACCACCACAGUCUGAUUGUAUUGUUAUAAUUUUACACUCCAACGAGUUUUCAAUCAGUUUUUGGAAUUCUCUAAAUUUCUCAAAAACUUCAUCCUUAGUUUUUAAAGGAUAAAACCAUGAAAAUCUUGAAUAUUCAUCAACUAUAAGUAAAUAAUACUUACGACCAUGAAUUGAGGGAAUGGGGGCAGGACCCCAUACAUCCAUGUGAAUUACUCCUAAUGGCCUGUUGCUAUACUUUGUUUUAGAUUUAAAGGGCAAUUUUUUCAUUUUAUUCAUUGGACACACAACACAUUUUUCUUUGCAUUCACUUGUUUUAAUCUUAUGUAUUUUAAAUAGUUCAGAAAUUAUUUGAGAUGAUGGAUGCCCACAUCUCAUAUGCCAUAUGUUAUAUGGUAUUGUUAAAACAGAAGGAUGUGCAUUAUGUUUAACUAUUGAUACAUUACAUUUAAGACUAUCAUCCUGUUUAAACACACAAACCAUUUGAUCCAAUACCAUUUAAAAUCUGUUUUCCAGAUUUAUUGUUAUUUUCUGAAAACUUAUCACCCUUUAAUAUAACUUUACAAUCUAAAUCAUUAGACAUUGCUUGUAAAGAAAUCGAAUUCAUUUUUAAUUUUGGAACACAUAAAGCAUUUUUGAGUAUUAAAUCGCCAAAUUUAGAUUUAAUUUUCAAAUUUUCAAUAUGUGAUAUGUGUAAGCCUAAAUCAUUACCAAUUAUUAUAAAGGAUUUACCUGAGUACUCCUGAGUCUCUGAUAAAUUAUCGAGAUCAGGAGUCAUGUGAGCAGAUGCUCCGGAGUCUAAAAUCCAAUUCCCUUCUGAAGAAUCGUCAGUAACAACAACAGUUAGGGCUUUAAGAAUUUUUCUGCAGGUCUUAGCAGAAUGACCUGGUGUUUCACAGAUCUGACAAAUAAUAGAAGAAUUAGGAUUCUUAGAUCUCCUUCAUCGAUUCUUUGAUGAAUUAUUUCUUUUCUGAUUAGGGUUGGAAUUUUCUUUCUUGUUUUUAUACUCAGUUUUCUUGUAAUCAUUUGGGUCACCCCUGUAGUCAUUUCUGAAAUCACAUCCAGAACGAAAUUUUGCAGCAAAGGCAGCACCAGAAGCAUCAUCAGAUUUUGGGUUAAUUUGAAAAUGACGCUUUAGAAAUGCAUCUUCUCUAAUAAUCAGAUGAAUGAACUGUUCAAACAAAAGAUUCGGUUGUGAGUGGAUAGAUGACAUGAACGGGCGAUACUCAGCAGCCAAACCAUCACAAAUGAAAUCAAUCUUAUCUCUAUCUGCGAGAUGAUCACCCGCAGCAGUCAAACUGUCAAUAAGAGCAUGAACUUUAAUAACAUACUCCGCCAUGCUCUCGGAGUCAGAUUUCCUCAUCAUUCUAAGCUCAUCCCUUAAGCUUUGUGAGUGGCAAAUUUUUCUUGGCGAUAAGUGAAGAUCAAGGUUCUCCCAGCAGGCGCGUGCACUGUCAUGAUUUAACACAAGAGAGAACAUUGACGAGCCAACAGCAGCUUGAAUCCAUCCAAGAAUGAUGAAAUUCUUCUUUCUCCAGAUAUAAUAUAACGGAUUGUCACUUCCAUCAGGAUUCUUUUCUUCUGGUGUAACGGUCUUUGGAUCUAUAAUAUCAGACACAUCAUGAAUCUUAAAAAGAUUCUCCAUCUGAGAUUUCCAAAAGAGAUAUGUUCCACCACUCUCUAAAGGAACCCUGAUCCAGUGUGAUACAUUGCACUUAUGAAGUUCGUCAAAAUGGUUUGACAAUGAAGAGGAACCUUUACUAUAAACCAUUAUUAAGAAGCUAAUAUACAGAUCCGGAAGCCAGCGAUCGUUGAGAGAAGAAGAAAAAAUUGAAAUCACGGAAGCACAAAUCGGAAAAUGCUAAAAAAUCACAACUGCCAGGUCGUGUUCUGACAGAAAUCACAGAAAUAUCAAUUCUGCAAUUUCUUGACAGAUCGUGCAACUGAACUUGCCACAGAUCGUGCAAUUUCUCAAGGAGAUUGUCCCAAAUCGGCAACUGAAAUCGCCAAAACUGAUCAUACAACGAUUUCCACACUGACGGACAUGGACAGAUUGAAAUCGCCUGCUCAAAUCUUCUGCCCCAAAAUAAAAUCGCGGAAAGAUGAUCUGCUUAAAUCACACACAGAUCGCCGUGCUGAAAAAUUUCUGUGAAGAAGAAAUCGCCGCGAGUGGGAGAAGAAGAAGAGGAAGAUUCCUGUUAUCACCGUGCUGAAGAGAUCGGAUGGUCAAGAGGAGCUACAACUGAUACCAUGUUAAAUACUUCAACUCUUGGAUAUUCAGAUCAACGAUCAAGCAAACAAAGAACAAGAAAUGUAUUUCAUAGAAUGAAUUCAAAUCAAUAAUCCACAACGAUAUCUAUCUAGUAUUUAUAUCAUGACUUAACUAAUUAACCACUAAUACUAAUUAACUAGAGAGAAUAUCUAACUAUGGUUAACAAAGAUAAAGAGUGUAAUUAAUCUUGCUAACAGAGAGAACAUCUGAAAUAUUCAAAUGAUUUCCUAAAGUGGAACUUAAUGACAGAAAAGUUAAGACAUCUGAAAUCUACAUUCACAGGAACUCAAUGAAAUGCAGGAAGUAGAAUUAAAUGAAGAAUCACUGUAAAUGCUAUGAAAAUGAGAAUAUCAAUUGAAAAUAAGAAAUCAGAAUGAAAUAUGAAAAUUACUGGUUUGAUUAAAAAAUAGAAAAUAACCAAUUAAAAUAAUAAUCUGAGAAUGAAAGAAGAAAAUUACUGGUUCGAUUAGAAAAUAUUGAUUCUUGUUGUGAUUGUGUUCUCUGAUUGCGUUUUCGAUUCUUAUUUUGAUUACGUUUUCAGAUUUUUUUUGAACUCGAUUGGUUUUGAUCAGAAAUCGUUUUGAAAUCGGUUUGAAAUCGAUUGAUUGUUUAGGUUUUGAUCGCGAUCUGAUUUACUCGAUUGCGUUCAGAACUUGUUCGCGAUCAGUUUUUUUUUUGAACUUGUUCGUGAUCUACAUGGCGAUCUGAUCGAUUCGAUCAGGCACUCGUCUAUUCCCUAUUCGUGGAAAUCCCCGACAGAAGAAAGAGGUGUUGGCGAUCUGGAUAUUAUCGUAUUCCAUGGAUCCGCUUGUGAUCUGUUUGCGAUUUAAUUUCUGGGAAAUCGCGAUUUAAUUUCUCGUCGCUUGUGAUCUUGCGAUUCUUAUCUGAUUACUGAUUGCGAUCUCUCCUGAUUGAGAUCUACUAAUUUGGUGAUUAGUGAUUGCAAUUUUGAGGUGUGAUAUUUACUGAUUAGUGAUUGCGAAUUAUUCACAUUUGCAAUAUCACAUUACUGAAUAGUCAAUUUAAUUAGUGAUUACUGUUAUGUUCAGAUUUUUUUUUUAAUUCAGAAAAUGUAAUAUCACAUUUGCUUUGCAGGUUUAUGCUAAUAUUGAAGAAAUAUUCUUUGUCUGCAUAUACUAUAUUCUCCUCUGUUUUUUUUUAUUACUGAUUGAAUUUUUUCUCUCCUCUGUUUUGAUUACUGAUAUAAUCAAAUUGUGCAGAUGAAUGCUGAUUACUGAUAUAAUAAAUUUGGUAAUCAAAUUUAUUAUUCAUGAAUGCUAGCUACCAUGAAGAAAAAUCUAGAAAAUGUUCAAGCUAGGAUGAAGCAUCAAGUUGACAAGAGUAGAUCUGAUGUUGUGUAUGAAGAUGAAACAUGGGUACUGGUUAAAUUACAACACUACAGACCGACCACAGUAGCUAACAUAACUCAUAAUAAGCUAUGCCAAAAAUACUUCGGCCCCUAUGAAAUAAAGAGGAAAAUCAACAGAGCUGCUUAUAAAAUCAGAUUACCUCAAGGCAGAAAAAUACAUGAUACAUUUCAUGUUUUCAGAUUGAAGAAAUCUUAUGAAUCAGAUUACCUAAAGGCAGAAAAAUACACGAUACAUUUCAUGUUUUCAGAUUGAAGAAAUUUUAUGGCCCGCCCAAUUCCUGAAAACCAGCCUACAAAUGAUAUCAUGGUUUAAGUUAGCAAUAAACCAAUUAUCUAUCCUAUAGCAGUACUGGAUACAAGAAUGAGUGGACAGGAUAACAAAAGAAAGGUUUCCCCAGAAUUGUUCAAAAGAUGCAAAAAAAUUAAAGCACACUGCGUUUUUAUUACAUCUUAGCUAAACUACACUGCAGAUUUCAGACACUACAACAGUUAUAUAUAGUUAGAGUCAAUCUAGAGUUAAUAGUACAUUAGCUGUUAUAAUAAGUAAUAUAGUUAAUUAGUUAGUUUAGAUUUUUUAGUUACAGGCAAUAGACCUUUGUUAUAAAUAAUGUAUGACUAGUUGUUUAGAAGUAAUUUUCAUUCUUGAUUCUACUACCCAUGAAGAUGUUGAUGAUUGAAUACUACCCAUGAAGAGUGGAUCAAGAUGUUGAUGAUUGAAUAGUAUCCCAUGAAGUUUGAAAUAUCACAAAACAUCACCAUCUCCUCCAAACAAUCAGCCAGAAGACAACUUAUCAUUAUAGCCAUUAGUUUGAAUAUGAAUAGAUCGAAAUAAUGUGUUUUUAUGACUAAUUGAGACCAUUUUUUGGAUACUACUAGGGCGUCAAAUAAAGCCCGGCUCGGGCUCGCGAGCCCUAGCCUCUAGCUCGUUAAGCUCGAUGGGCUCGGUAAGGAUUAUAAAAAAUUAAAAAAAUAUUAAACUUAGAGAGAAUAGAUGUGUAGUAUAGUUGGUAAAAGGUUUGUUUAAUAUUUGAAAAGUCAUAGGUUCGAUCUUUCAUGUCUACAAAUAAUUAUUUUUUUAAUUCGAGUCCAGAAAGUAUAAAAAACUAAAAAAAUAUUAAAUUUAGAGAGAAUGGAGGUGUAGCGCAGAUAAUAAAUCAUUUGUUAAGCAUGUGAGAGGUCACGGGUUCGAUCCUCCAUGUGAGAGCUCGCGGGCUUGAGCCUGAGUCCGAGCUUGGAAAAUAUCUGACGAGCCGAGCCUGAGCCCGAGCUUGGAAAAUAUCUGAUGAGCCGAGCUUGAGCCCGAGCUUGGAAAAUAUCUGCCGAGCCGAGCCUGAGCCCGAGUCCAUAUGAUAUCUCAACGAGCCCAAGUCCGGUUCUAUAAGCAAAAGCUCGGCUCAGCUCGUUUGACACCCUAGAUACUACCAUCGAUAUCCAAAUGUAAGUGUUCCAAUUUUUUGAAAUAUAUUUGACAAAAUAGACGAAUCAAACCAUUUUCAAACUUGAUGGAUAAUGUAUAUACAGAUUUUCCAUCAUUUGAUAAUGCGACUCAUUUUCGUAUUUUAUCUUUUUUUCUCAUAACCUAUGGUAUUCGUGACGACCCAUAUCCAGGCAACGUUGCUUGGAUAAUAGUGAAAUAAUGAAUAAUGCAAAAUAUUUAGUUUACUCGAAUAAAUCCAGGCUAACUAAUUUGUAAUAACACACAAGUACCAUAAAUAUUAACCACUAAAUUAAAAGAAAACUAAAUAAACUACUUUUUUUUUAUAAUUUUUUCCAUUGACCAUAAUUCCAGGCAACGUGGGUAACUUUCCACUAACAGAGUAACCACUCACUAAUAAGAUCGUACAAUAAUCAUCCAUUGCCGCCCGUGAUCGUCGUCGAGGCCAUUUGUGGGGAAGCUCCUCCCUAGCACACACCUCUCCCUAUCCUUGGCUUUUGCGACUUUUUGGUUAUUCACAGACACAGGUUCGUUGUUCGACUCUCCGCCAACAAUUGUUUGAGUCGGCCGAGGAAAGGCUUGAGAAUCUUCAUUUUGCCACACACUAUGAGAAUCUUCAUUUUAAAGAAAGUCCAGCUAGCUGAUCUACGGGAGUAUUUUGUUGUUGCUGCUGGACAACGUUUCUGAGCACUUCCAUUGCUUCACCAACCUUUGCUUUUAGUGCCUCGGGUGAUUCCAGCAAGUGCAGAACUUCAGUUUGGUCCAUCUCAAGAAGCAUUCCAGUAACCUUAGCAACCAUAUCAUGCUCAAUUUGAUCAACAAGUGGGUACAAACUUUCUCUAAGCAUCUACAAAACAAAACAAAAAAUUAUAUUGAAAACUAGAACAAAAAACUUCAAUAAAUAUAUAAAAGACUUGUAAUGUAUAAUAUCCUCUGCAGAUCAGUAGGAGCGUUAGCAAGGGAUGAAUCCAGUGCUGAGAUAGGUAUAGGCUGUGAUAUAGCGGCAUCUCUUCCAGGAAAACCACCCAUGUCAAAUGGAGAAGAAAGCAUGCCACAACUUGUACCAAGAAUCGGCAUAUCAGGUAUGUUUCUUCCAGGUGGGAAACGAUACAUCCUUCCAUCACCCCUUGGAAACAUCUGCAAAACAGAAGACAGAAAGAAUGAAAUCAAGAAUGAACUCUCAUAGAAAACAAGAUAAAGAGUAAAAAAAAUAUAAGCCAGAAAACCUGUUGCUGAACCAUCGGCAUUGGUUGCAUGGGUCUUCCUGGUUCAGUACGCCUACCACCUCCGGGCCUUGGCCAAAAUAGAGCACCUCCAAGCCUCAUACCAAGAAUAAGUGGUUGUUGAUAACCAAAACCAGGCUAAAAAAAUAUCAGCACAUUAGACUCAGAAAAUCUUACAGCAUUGGAAGCCUCUUCAACGGUUGAGAAAGCAACAAAACCAGAGCCUCUACUAACUCCAUUACUAUCGACAAUGAUUCUUAUCGACGGUCUUCUUAAUAUUCUGCUCAUAUUUAGCCUUCAGUUCUUGCUCCCUUUCAGAUUUCUUUAGAGCCUUAUCAACAUACCACUCCUUGUCAACAAAUUUUUUCCCAUUAAGAGAAUCAACAUCAUUUGCAGCAUCUUUAGAAUUAUCGAAAUUGACAAAACCAAAACAUUUCGACUUUCCAUCACCUUCUCUCAUCACAACAGCACUUGUGAUUUGUCCAAAUUCACUAAAAACUUUUUUCAGGUCAUCUUGAGUCAUUGUUCGAGAAAAAUUCUUAACAAAAACAUUGUUAAAUUUCACAUUGUAUGGGGGGGGGUUAUUAUCUCUAUCCUGCUUGCGCAAAAAUGGACCUACAAACACUUUCUUACCAUUAAGUAGUAUUCCAUUUAGCUUUUCUAUAGCAAAUUGUGCAGAAUCUUUUCUUCGAAUUGGGCUUAAUAACUACUGAUAAAUAUAAUCACUACCUGUUAGAGUAACUACUUUGUUAGUAACUACUUUCCUAUAAUAUCUAAAUAAACGGAAGUAGUUAUAGAAUAUUACUAGAGUAAUAAAUUGUAUAAAUAGAUAUGACUAUCAAACAUAAAGGUGAUCGAGUUUGGUUUUCUCAUUUGAUACAUUUCAAUUGACUAUUACGGGAUUGACGAUGUUAAAACAUGCGAGAAUGUCGACAGAAUAUUGGGAUUACGUGUUUAUGACAGCAGUACAUUUAUAUAACAGAAAUCCAACCGUAAUUCUUGAUUACAAGUCACCGUAUGAAGCAUUGUUCAAACAACUCCAGAAUACAACAGAUUGCAUGUUUUUGGAGCAAAGUGCUUCCCAAAUCUUCGUCCGUAUAGAAACAACAAACUCCAAGACAAAUCUGAACCAUGUUUAUUUAUGUGAUAUCCGGUAAAUUCAAAUGGAUAUAUUUGUAUGAGUGCAGGUGACGGAAGAAUUAUCAUAUCACGCGAUGUAAUAUUCAUUGAUGAUAAUUUCUUAUUAAGGAAAUCAGAUGACAAAUGCAACGAUAAGGGAAAUGAACCUGAUGAGGAGAGCUGUUUAAUUGAAGAAUAUGUACCCAAAGAUGGUCAAAAUUUCCAAAGCACGGGCUGCUGCAAAAUAAAAUUGUAAAACAAUUUAAAGAUACUAGAAUAACAAUAACAUUAGUAAAACAUUUUAUAAACAAUGAAAAAAACAAACAAGAAUAAAAAAUAUCUUGGAAUAUAUCUAAAUAUAAAAAAACAAUCAACAAGAAUCGAUUUGAAUGAAAUUAUUACCACACAUAAUUUAUUUGUUAUGAGAACAGAAAAAGGUAAAAAAAAACGAUAAAAUAGUAACAAUUUAAAAAGCAAGUCUGAUUGAAAUAUAUAUGAUAGCAAAAAAUAUAGGUUAUUUUUAAUAAAACGAGUGAGUAUAUGCAAUAAAUAGAUGAUGAAAAAGAAGAGAAUACCCUCCGGAGGAUGGUUGUAAUUGACAUAUAUGCAUACCCAAGAGACCUUCUGUAAGGCUCUACAGACCCUUACAGAAACGACCUAUCUGAGCAGACUGAAUAGGUCAAAAACUUACAAAUCAGUUACUGUGGGAUCUAAAUCUCCGACAUAUAGAGAUGUUAGACUGUGAAAGGGAGCACCAGCAGUAGUUUCAAAGUAUCAAACAGCAAAAUAACCUGGUUUGUAGACUUCAGAAGAGCUUGUAUGGGUUGAAGCAAGCACCUCGAAGUGGUACAAGAAAUUUGAUAGCUAUCUCAGUGUCAUAGGCUUCAAGAGGUGUGACACGGAUUCCUGUUGCUACAGAAAGCAAUUGACCGAUUUCUAUAUUAUUCUUGUCGUUUAUGUUGAUAUGCUCAUUACUAGUGCAAACAUGAAAGAGAUAAAUCAUCUGAAGAAACAACUUUCAAAGGAAUUUGAGAUGAAAGAUCUGGGAGCAGCGAUUUUGGACAUGAGGAUCAUCCGGGAUGAGUCCUCAGGAAUUCUGAAACUGGGUCAACAAAGGUACAUUGAAAAGGUUCUUGAGAAGUUCAGCUUUGCAAACGAAUCGAAUUCGAAUAUCCGGAUAUUAAACGAAUUCGAAUUCGAAUAUGAUGGUAUUCGGUUCGUUUACAUGCCUAGUGUUAUAAAAGAUGACUGAGUUUUGCACUUUCUCCUUCUCCUGAUUUCUUCAAAAAUAAUCAGGUCCCUAAUAUCAUUCCACUUAAGCUUUCCAUGACCAAUAGAGCUGCUCACACUUGUAGCAACUUGUUCCCGACUUUCUGGUAGAGAUGAUAACAAAAUAAGUGCUCUAAGUUCAUCGUCAAUGUUGAUAUCCACAGAGGACAACUGUGUCAACAACACAUUUACUUGAUUCACAUGAUCAACAACAUUUGCUUCUUCACUCAUCUUGAGAUUGAACAAAUUACGCAUCAGAAAAACUGUUUGUUGCUGUAGGCUUUUGAUACAUAUUCGUCAAGGUUUCCAACACCUCUAUUGUCGUGGUGCACUUGGAGAUGUUGAAGGCAACGUUCUUAGCCAAGGUGGGUCUAAUAAGGCUAAUAGCUUUUCUGUCGAGAAGCUUCCAAUCUUCAUCACUCAUAUCUGCCGGUCUUGUGCCCAACAUCGGAGCAUGAAGGUUCUUUGCAUAAAGGUAGUCCUCUAUUUGCAUUUUCCAAUAUGCAAAAUCGCUCCCUUCAAACCUAUCGACCCUAUGCUUUAUUUCAUCUACUAUUUCAAACACAACUACUGCUCUGGAAAGUCUGGAUACACGUCGAUAGGGGGUUUACAAACCCUAACCAGGAAAGCCACGAUCUGAAAAACCAAAAAAAACAAAAAACCACCGACCAAAAAAAAGAAACUGACAGACCAAGAGGAUUCCUGGUCUGAAAAAAAGAAACUAAAUACACCGACCAGGAAGAAGAACUAUGAUCUGAAAGCCAUAGACACGUUGACCAGAUGACCAGGAAUAUCCGCCGACUGGAAGACAGCGGAACGCCGGUCUGGAAAACCUUCCCUUUGAAAAAAAAAUCGAUAUGGAAAUACCCGCCGGCUGGAAGACAGAGGAACGUAGGUCUGGAAACCCUCCCUCAAAAAAAACCUCGAUCUGGAAAUCAGGAAACACGUCAACUUUUGCUCUUCUCUCUUCGAUUUUAAUCCAACCUCGCUCUGAUACCAAUUGAUAGGAUCGAUACCUAAAUCGAACUGAGAAAACCGAGCGAAAACAAACACAAUACACAGAAUUUACGUUGUUCGGCAAUGUGCCUACGUCCACGGGGGUGUCUCCAUUCUUCUUCUUUUUCUCUCAAAAAGAGUACAAGUAAUUAUAAGAUACUUAUAUGGGUGAUUAGGGUUGUCGUUUUGUGUUUGUAACUCCUAAUCUCUAUUACAAGGCUUAAAGCCCAUUUAACAGAAUUAAUCAUAUUUUAAUUCUAAUGCUCAUAAAAGACCUACAUUAAUUCUAAUUAUAAUUAAUGCCCUUCUAAAAAACGUCUCAACACUCUAACUAAUGGAGCAAUUAAUCAAUUGAAAUGAAACAAUACCUCAAGAUAUCGUGGAUGAUAAAAAAUCUGAAAUUCCAACACUUCAGUUUCAGCAAGAAAAGAUCUAUUGGAAUCCACCAAUAGCUCCACUAGAAUCCAUUAGUAGAAUAGGAAAAAUCAGAUAGGAGUCCACCUGAUCCGAUGAAGAAUAAGCAAGAAUCUCAAGAGUUUUUUUGAGAAAAACGUAGGAGAGAGAAAAGUAGAGUAAUUUCACCUUUGGAAAAUAUAUGCUACGGGUUUGAGUCCACUCCUAUUUAUACUCCCAAUGUAUAAGAGUGGAAAUUCCACAUUGGGAGUUGGACAGUCCAAUUAAAGAGACUGAGCCAUGGCUCGAGUUAACUCGAGCCAAUGACCUUGUAGAUCAUUGUAAUGGGCUACAUCACUAACAAAUUCAACAUUUCCAACACCUUCAAUAUCUCAGAUCUACAAACCUACUAUCCACUGGAUGAAGGACCGGUUUACGGACAUUCGAGGUCGACUGUCGCCGCAGUGGAGGCGCUUGAUGAAGGAGCUGUAGGGAAGUCAACGCAGCCCACGGCGUAACAGCAAAUGGGUAAGUUAGGAACGACUAACUGACCGAACGGCGACGUCAUUAAUUAUAAAAAUUGGAGGCUGCAAGGACUUCGGGGAAGAUGUUUUGCUUACCUCAAGGUACUACCUCUUCACUGCUCUCUCAGUUUCGUUCCUUCGUCUUCUCUAAUUUCUAUGGUGGAAUCCAGAUUCUAUCAACCGGUGGAUUCCGGCUCGGCGACGUGAUCUGUUCGGCGUCUCUCUAUCGCAACUCUGUCAAGUUGCCCGUGUGUAAAUCUGCAAUUACAUAUUCUAUGUUAAAUGAGUCUUGGGCCAUUAUGAUCCAUUACAAUUAAAUAGGUUUAAUUCUAUGUUAAAUGAGUCUUGGGCCUUGUAAUGAUGAUUAGGAGUUGCAAACAUAAAUCGGCAACACUAAUCAUCAUUAUAAAUAUCUUUUAAUGCUUCUAUUCUGUUGUGAGGGAGAAAGAAGAAUAGCUGAGGCACCCCGUGGACUUAAGCACAUUGUUGAACCACGUAAAUCUGUGUUUUCUUUUUCUCAAUUCGAUUUUAGGGUUCUUCUUAUCAUACUUCCAUUCAUCUGGACAAGUUGAAUUCCAGAGAGAAGUCCCAGCGAAACAGAGCCAGAGCAACUGAAGAGUUUGAGUUGAUUUUCGCGUGCAGCUUUCAACUUGACGCUUGUUUAAAGCGUCUUCGAGCAUUGAUCGGAUUCCACCCUCAUCAGUUAUGAUGGGAUAAAAAAUAUCAUUAUUUACUACGAAAAGAUGAUAAAUACCAUUCAGAUCCAAUAUACAAAAAAUGGACAGGGCCAUGGUUCCGGAUGCACGCGCAUAUGCGCAGAUGCGACCUCCCUUAGCCGGAUCCGGUCAUGAAUUAAAAAAAAACUGGCCAAAAAAAAAAAAUUUAAGUCCGAAAAAAUAUUUUAAGGUCAAAAAUUUAUUUUUAUGCCAAAAAUUUAUACAUUGGUCCAUGAAAAGAGCUAUAUUAUUUUUAAUAUAAGCUCCUCCCACUCUUAAGACUUCAUAUUUGUUUUAGACAAAAUGAAUCUUUAUUUAUAAACCAACCUUCUUUGUGUUUUUUGAAUUCUAUCGAUGUUAGACUAAAAAAGUGUAGUUAAAUAAAUUAUAAAGUAUUCUUUGUACUUUUUGAAUUCUAUCAAUGUGGUAUAAAUAAAGUGUACAUGUAUUAAAUAAAUUAUAGUGUUAUAUGCAUUUUUUAUAUCCUAUCAAUAUAGGACUAAAUAAAAUAUACAUGUGUUAAAUAAAUUAUAGUGUUACAAUGAAUUAUAGGGUGUUAUAAUAAUUAAUAAAUAUAUGUAUUAUAAUAAUUUUUCUAUCCUGAAAGUCUCCCCAAAGCAGAGGGAGGCUUAGGGGUCAGAAACCUAGGAAUCAUAGUACCUGCCAUAAAUAUCAAAAGAAUUACAAACUUCUGGACAAAAUCAGACUCAAUCUUUAACACAUGGAUCCAAGAGAGAUACAUAAAAGGACGAGCCCUCACAAACAUCCUUGUCAGGACCAUCAUUGACUCCCAUUUUUGGAAAUAUGUAAUGGCAGACAACCCCAAUGCUAUUGCACUAGUUGAAUGUAGGGCCAAUUAUACAACCCUUUGGAAAAAUGGAAACCCAAUCAGAAAACUUGCAGCAAUAUGUGAGGAGAUCAGGGAUAAAAUCCAUAAGGAUAGCCUAGCUGAAGGAAUAUGGACUCAUAAACCCACAAAGUUUUCCAUUUUCUAUGGAGGAUAAAGUGGGCACACCUAAACACCUUUAUCAAACUAAAUGGAUGGGGUAUGCCAAUCCAGCCCACAUGUUUAUUAUGCAAUAUGGAGAAUGAAUCCAGAGCCCACCUAUUUUUCAAUUUUUCCUACUCUAGAGCCAUCCUGCUUCCCCUGGUUAAAAACUUAAAUAACAUUUUCUGGAAGAUACUAAAAAUACCCACUCCCACCACCACUCACCCAGAUAUUAGAAUAGGGGACCUAACCGAGGAAUGUCAAAGGCUGCCACAUCACUCUCCAAUUUGGGGAAGCACCCAUGAAGGAAGAUAGUUCAGAUGAUGAGUAUGAUGAUGAAGCAUCUCCAGAUGAAGGAGAGAGAUUUUCAUGCAUAAUCCAGAGAAUAUGCCACACACCUCAACAAGAGCUGCAAAGUCAGAGGAAUAAUUUAUUCAGGACUAGAGGCACAAUUAAAGGAAGGGUCUGUGAUAUUAUAAUAGAUAACGGAUCAACUGGUAAUCUGAUUUCGUGGAAUGCAGUGAAAAAAUUAGGUUUAGAGGUGGAGGAACACAAAAACCCUUACAGUGUAUGGUGGAUUCACAGUGGGAAUUCAGUAGCUGUGGAUAAAAGUUACAGUAUUUGCAUUUUCCGUACUUUAAUAGAGAUCAAAACACAUUCUAUGAUUGAGAUCUGCUGAGUUACUAAUAUUGCAUUUUGAUUUAUUGUGUCAUUUGAAUGAAAGCUGACAGUAUAACAAAAGUAAAAUACAUGUGACCAUGGGGAUAUCAACGGGAAGUAAUGAUGUUUAAUCAUAAUGGCUACAACUGUAUUAAAAAAAUCGUUAUCUAAUAUGGAACAAUGAUAGAUUCAGUUGGUGUUCAAUAUACAAAAAAUGAACAGCUUGUGUGGACUGAUAAAAUUGAUAAAAAAAGCAGCAAUAACAACCAUAAAGAGGCCAGAUCUCAUCAAUAUUGUCUUUUAUUAUAUCACUGGGCACUAAAAGUAUGAAUUAUUGUUUCAUAAAUCAAUUUAAUAGGGAUGAAAAUAUUUAUGUAUGCUAUAGAAGUUAGGAGUUCGAUAUAUAGAAGUAUAGAAUUUAUGUAUUGACAUGAUCACAUGAAUCCAUGGCUAUAUAUGCCAGGGUCAGCCAUUAAAGAAAGCAACAAUGUUUUACAUAUUCUGUUAUGCUUUUUAGCCUUACUACCUGUAUUUAAUUUCUCUAUAAUUCUACUCGAGCUAUGCCCACCCAUUUUAUUUUCAGCAAUGAAAUUUUCAAUUCAUUGGAAAAAUAUGAUCACAUGAAGAUACCAAUUAUUUAUCAUUAACAAAAUCAUUUUUUCUUUCAAACAUUUUCUCAUACAGUUAAAACUUUUCAAUAAAAUAAGGACCAAACCUAGCUUACAUGAUAGAUUGGGAGAUGAGCAAUUGAGCAUGGUCACAAACUCACCACCUUGAUCCUAUUGAUUGAAGCCGCAAAAUAUAGAAUUCCCAUUAAAUUAUAUCAUUGACCUUAAUCCGAUUCAGAUUGGGUUUUGGUUAUCAAAAUAGAUUGUAACAUCCUUAGUAUUAGUGCAAAGAAACGAUUAAAGUUAAUUACAUAUAUUUGUUAGUUGUUGACUUUAUAGAUAUGCUCUAAUCUCUAUCAAAAAAUUAAAGGGUAUAGAGGUGUAAUAACAUUAUGUGUGUGUGUUUACACUGGCAAUAACAACCUCAUUUGUUAUUCUAAUUUCUAGAUCUAGCCCACCAUCAAUCUACCUUCACUCAUCAACACUUAGAGAUAUGCUUGCUUGGCGAGUUCUUUCGGAGGUCUGAGGAUGAAUUGCUUGGAUCUUCCGUUUCUCUCACACCAGAUGUUUCAAGCUAGUGAGCCAAGAAUUGCUCAUUACAACUCCAACAGCUAGAGUGUUUGCUGAACUUUUCUAUCCCCUAUUCCUCUCAAUGAUGUCCUCAUUACUGUCCUGUGGGGUAGGAUGUUAAGUUUUAUCCAAAUAGUUGAAUAUAGAUGGUUUUGGAUGAGGUUGAUAUAGGAUCUUCCGAACAUAAGACACAUGAUAAUCCUCCUACUCGAACCUUAAAUAACGGUGAUUCCUUAUCCGAAAAAAUCAUCUCGAAAUAUCUGAAACCAUCUCGGGUUAUGUCUUGUGAUAAAAACGUACUAUGUUUGAUAUGUCAGGUAUUUUGAUUUCUUCAUUAACCUCAAAUGAAUAUCUACAUGAGUGUUUAUAUCAAUUGAAAAACAAGUAAUGACUAACAAAACUAACUAUCUAUUUAGUUAACUAACUAAUAUAAGCAGUGAAUCAAUCUUAUUUUCUCUGAACCAAUGAAUGAAUCACUAAUCUUAAUUGACAUUAUCUUCAGGAAUAUUUUGAGAUGAUGAGAAGGUCGGAAGAUUGUAUUGUGACCAUAAGUUCCACUUCAGUUGCAUAAAGAGUUGGUUGAUUAUAUAGAAUAAAUGUGUCCCAACUGUAGAGCGAGUGCGAUCGGCCUUUUAAAUUCACUGUGAGGUUUAUGUUAAAAGAUAGAGUAGUGAAACAUGGUUUUUUCGAAUGUACUUGACUUUAUUGACCAAUCGAUGACGAUCUUAGAUGAUCGUACGAAAAUUGUAUUCAAUCGAUCAGUAUUUUGCAUGAAUGUAAAUGAUGAUUAUAAUGUUCAUUUAUAGUGAUGAGUAAGUUACACAACAACAACUAUUUAGUUAGUUAUGUUACUUAUGUAAAUGGAUUAGCUUUGCCAAAUCCGUAACACCCUCUCUCAAGUGGAGCGGGUGUUCUGUGGAACUCUGAUACCAUAUUGACUAAUCGAUGAUGAUCGGAGAUAAUCGUAGAUUGUAUUCAAUCAAUCUGUAUUUUGCAUGAAUGUAAAUGAUGAUUAGAAUGUUUACUUAUAGUGAUGAGUGAUGAGUUAGUUACACUAUAAUAACUAUUUAGCGAGUUAUGUUACUUAUGUAAACGCAUUAGCUUUGCCUAAUCUGUAACAAACUUAAUUCUUCUCUUUAGAUUAACCUGUGAGUUUAAUUAGGAUUGUAAUAGUAGUGAUUAGUAUAAGCUAAAUUGCAUGUAUUGAUUGUCUAAAGUUUGUAAAUUUUCUAUGAAGUCUUUUACUGAUUGUGAAUUCUGAUAAAUUCUUUUUAGUGGAAGAGAAAUUUAUUUUGAAUCUUUUUUAUAAUUAAACUCGUCUCAUAAAAUGUUGACGUCGAGAUUAAUUAGCAAAAUCUAAUGUAUUGUAUUUAAAUCGCCGUACUGUUCUCAGACCACUGUAAUGUACUGAAGUUCCAUCGAGCCGGCAGACCUGCUUUCACCAUAUCGACGGUCAGGUAAGGUUAAUUACUUAAUUAAUACUCUAUUUCUUUUGUUAUAGUUGGUUUUAGACGAAAUCGAUGCAGAAUCAAUCGGAUUGAUGAUACCCAAUCGCUCUUCUACUCCAACCUCAAUUUUAGACUAGCUUUAAAGUUUUUCCUAAUGACUUAACUUUCAUAAAUACAAUUUUUUUGACCAUGAAACUAUAAAAGUGAAAGGUUGGUUGAUUAAUGCUGUUUUUUUUUUCUUAUAUCAUAGAUCAUAGAUGGUUUUGGAUGAGGUUGAUAUAGGAUCUUCCGAAUAUACGAUACAUGAUAAUCCUCCUACUCGAACUUUAAAUAACGGUGAUUCCUUAUGAUUCCUUAUCAGAAUAAAUCAUCUCGAAAUAUCUGAAACCAUCUCGAGUUAUGUCUUGUGAUAAAAACGUACUAUCUUCGAUAUGUCAGGUAUUUUGAUUUAUUCAUUAACCUCAAACGAAUGUUUACAUGAGUAUUUAUAGCAAAUGAAAAACAAGUAAUGACUAACAAAACUAACGAUCUAUUUAGUUAACUAACUAAUACAAGCAAUGACAGUUAUUUUCUCUGAACCAAUGAAUGAAUCUCUAAUCUUAAUUGACAUUUUUUUCAGGAAUCUUUUGAAGAUGAUGAGAAUGUCGGCAGAUUGGAUUGUGACCAUGAGUUCCACUUCAGUUGCAUAAAGAGUUGGUUGAUUAUACAGAAUAAAUGUCCCAACUGUAGAUCAAGUGCGAUCGGUCUUUUAAAUUCACUGUAAGGUUUAUGUUAAAAGAUAGAGCUGUGAAGCAUGGUUCUUUCGAAUGUAAAUGACUUUAUUGACCAAUCUAUGAUGAUCUGAGAUUAUCAGAGAUGAUCAUACAUAGAUUGCAUUCAAUCAAUCUGUAUUUUGUAUGAAUGUAAAUGAUGAUCACAAUGUUUAUUUAUAGUGAUUAGUGAUGAGUUAGUUACACUACAACAACUAUUUAGUUAGUUAUGUUACUUAUGUAAAUAGAUUAGCUUUGCCUAAUCCGUAACACCCCCCUUCAAGUGGAGCGGGAGUUCUGUGGAACUCUGAUACCAUAUUGACCAAUCGAUGAUGAUCGGAGAUGAUCGUAGAUUUUAUUCAAUCAAUCUGUAUUUUGCAUGAAUGUAAAUGAUGAUUACAAUGUUUAUUUAUAGUGAUGAGUUAAUUACACUACAAUAACUAUUUAGUUAGUUAUCUUACUUAUGUAAAUGGAUUAGUUUUGCCUAAUCCGUAACAGACUUAAUUCUUCUUUUUAGAUUAACUUGUGAUUUAAUCAGGGUUGUAAUAGUAGUGAUUAGUAUAAGCUAAAUUGCAUGUACGGAUUGUCUAAAGUUUGUAAAUUUUCUAUGAAGUCAUUUGCUGAUUGUGAAUUCUUAUAAAAUUCUUUUUAGUGGAAGAGAAAUUUAUUUUUAAUCUUCUUUAUAAUUAAACUCGUCUCAUAAAAUGUUGACGUCAGGAUUAUUUAGCAAAAUCUAAUGUAUUGUAUUUAAAUCGUCGUACUGUUCUCAGACCACUGUAUUGUACUGAGGUUCCAUCGAGCCGACAGACCUCCUUUCACCAUAUCGGUGGUCAUGUAAGGUUAAUUAUUACUUAAUUAAUACUCUAUUUCUUUUGUUAUAGCUGGUUUUAGACGAAAUUGAUGCAUAAUCAAUCGGAUUGAUGGUACCCAAUCACUCUUCUACUCCAACCUCCAUUUUAGACUAGCUUUAAAGUUUUUCCUAAUGACUUAACUUUCAUAAAUACAAUUUUUGUGACCAUGAAACUAUAAAAGUGAAAGGUUGGUUGAUUAAUCCUGUUUUUUUUUCUUAUAUCACAGAUAGUUUUGGAUGAGGAUGAUAUAGGAUCUUCCGAACAUACGAGACAUGAUAAUUCUUCUACUCGAACCUUAAAUAACGGAAAUUCUGUAUCAGAAAAAAUCAUCUCAAAAUAUCUGAAACCAUCUCAAGUUAUGUCUUGUGAUAAAAACGUACUAUGUUCGAUAUGUCAUGUAUUUUGAUUUAUUCAUUAACCUCAAAUGAAUGUUUACAUAAUUAUUUAUAGCAAUUGAAAAACAAGUAAUGACUAACAAAACUAACUAUCUAUUUAGUUAACUACCUAAUACAAGCAAUGACAGUUAUUUUCACUGAACCAAUGAAUGAAUCUCUAAUCUUAAUUGACAUUUUUUUCAGGAAUCUUUUGAAGAUGAUGAGAAUGUCGGCAGAUUGGAUUGUGACCAUGAGUUCCACUUCAGUUGCAUAAAGAGUUGGUUGAUUAUACAGAAUAAAUGUCCCAACUGUAGAUCAAGUGCGAUCGGACUUUUAAAUUCACUGUAAGGUUUAUGUUAAAAGAUAGAGCAGUGAAGCAUGGUUCUUUCGAAUGUACUUGACUUUAUUGACCAAUCUAUGAUGAUCUGAGAUGAUCAGAGAUGAUCGUACAUAGAUUGCAUUCAAUCAAUUUGUAUUUUGUAUGAAUGUAAAUGAUGAUUAUAAUGUUUAUUUAUAGUGAUUAGUGAUGAGUUAGUUACACUACAACAACUAUUUAGUUAGUUAUGUUACUUAUGUAAAUAGAUUAGCUUUGCCUAAUCCGUAACACCCCCCUUCAAGUGGAGCGGGAGUUCUGUGGAGCUCUGAUACCAUAUUGACCAAUCGAUGAUGAUUGGAGAUGAUCGUAGAUUUUAUUCAAUCAAUCUGUAUUUUGCAUGAAUGUAAAUGAUGAUUACAAUGUUUAUUUAUAGUGAUGAGUAAUAAGUUAGUUACACAACCAUAACUAUUUAGUUAGUUAUCUUACUUAUGUUAAUGGAUUAGCUUUGCCUAAUCCGUAACAGCCUUAAGUCUUCUCUUUAGAUUAACCUGUGAUUUAAUCAGGGUUGUAAUAGUAGUGAUUAGUAAAAGCUAAAUUGCAUGUACCGAUUGUCCAAAGUUUGUAAAUUUUCUAUGAAGUCAUUUCCUGAUUGUAAAUUCUCAUAAAAUUCUUUUUAGUGGAAGAGAAAUUUAUUUUUAAUCUUCUUUAUAAUUAAACUCGUCUCAUAAAAUGUUGACGUCAGGAUUAUUUAGCAAAAUCUAAUGUAUUGUAUUUAAAUCGUCGUACUGUUCUCAGGCCACUGUAUUAUACUGAGGUUCCAUCGAGCCGGCAGACCUCCUUUCACCAUAUCGGUGGUCAUGUAAGGUUAAUUAUUACUGAAUUAAUACUCUAUUUCUUUUGUUAUAGCUGGUUUUAGACGAAAUUGAUGCAUAAUCAAUCGGAUUGAUGGUACCCAAUCACUCUUCUACUCCAAUCUUCAUUUUAGACUGGCUUUAAAGUUUUUCCUAAUGACUUAACUUUCAUAAAUACAAUUUUUUUGACCAUGAAACUAUAAAAGUGAAAGGUUGGUUGAUUAAUCCUGUUUUUUUUUCUUAUAUCACAGAUAGUUUUGGAUGAGNNNNNNNNNNNNNNNNNNNNNNNNNNNNNNNNNNNNNNNNNNNNNNNNNNNNNNNNNNNNNNNNNNNNNNNNNNNNNNNNNNNNNNNNNNNNNNNNNNNNGGUGAUUCCUUAUGAUUCCUUAUCAGAAUAAAUCAUCUCGAAAUAUCUGAAACCAUCUCGAGUUAUGUCUUGUGAUAAAAACGUACUAUCUUCGAUAUGUCAGGUAUUUUGAUUUAUUCAUUAACCUCAAACGAAUGUUUACAUGAGUAUUUAUAGCAAUUGAUAAACAAGAAGUGACUAACAAAACUGACUAUCUAUUUAGUUAACUAACUAAUACAAGCAAUGACAGUUAUUUUCUCUGAACCAAUGAAUGAAUCUCUAAUCUUAAUUGACAUUUUUUUCAGGAAUCUUUUGAAGAUGAUGAGAAUGUCGGCAGAUUGGAUUAUGACCAUGAGUUCCACUUCAGCUGCAUAAAAAGUUGGUUGAUUAUACAGAAUAAAUGUCCCAACUGUAGAUCAAGUGCGAUCUGACUUUAAAAAUCACUGUAAGGUUUAUGUUAAAAGAUAGAGCAGUGAAGCAUGGUUCUUUCGAAUGUACUUGACUUUAUUGACCAAUCUAUGAUGAUCUGAGAUGAUCAGAGAUGAUCGUACAUAGAUUGCAUUCAAUCAAUUUGUAUUUUGUAUGAAUGUAAAUGAUGAUUAUAAUGUUUAUUUAUAGUGAUUAGUGAUGAGUUAGUUACACUACAACAACUAUUUAGUUAGUUAUGUUACUUAUGUAAAUAGAUUAGCUUUGCCUAAUCCGUAACACCCCCCUUCAAGUGGAGCGGGAGUUCUGUGGAGCUCUGAUACCAUAUUGACCAAUCGAUGAUGAUUGGAGAUGAUCGUAGAUUUUAUUCAAUCAAUCUGUAUUUUGCAUGAAUGUAAAUGAUGAUUACAAUGUUUAUUUAUAGUGAUGAGUGAUAAGUUAGUUACACAACAAUAACUAUUUAGUUAGUUAUCUUACUUAUGUUAAUGGAUUAGCUUUACCUAAAUUAAACCCGUCUCAUAAAAUGUUGACGUCGGGAUUAUUUAGCAAAAUCUAAUGUAUUGUAUUUAAAUCGUCGUACUGUUCUCAAACCACUGUAUUGUACUGAGGUUCCAUCGAGCCGGCAGAUCUCCUUUCACCAUAUCGGCGGUCAUGUAAGGUUAAUUACUUAAUUAAUACUCUAUUUCUUUUGUUAUAGCUGGUUUUAGACGAAAUCGAUCCAGAAUCAAUCGGAUUGAUGGUACCCAAUCACUCUUCUACUCCAACCUCUAUUUUAGACUGGCUUGUAAGUUUUUCCUAAUGUCUUAACUUUCAUAAAUACAAUUUUUCUGACCAUGAAAAUAUAAGAGUGAAAGGUUGGUUGAUUAAUGUUGUUUUCUUCUUCUUAUAUCACAGAUGGUUUUCGAUGAGGUUGAUAUAGGAUCUUCCGAACAUACCACACAUGAUAAUCCUCCUACUCGAACCAUAAAUAACGGAGAUUCUGAUCCGAAAAAAUCAUCUCGAAAUAUCUGAAACCAUCUCGAGUUAUGUCUUGUGAUAAAAACGUACUAUGUUCGAUAUGUCAGGUAUUUUGAUUUAUUUAUUAACCACAAAUGAAUGUAUACAUGAGUGUUUAUAGCAAUUGAUAAACAAGUAGUGACUAACAAACCUGACUAUCUAUUUAGUUAACUAACUAAUACAAGCAAUGACAGUUAUUUUCUCUGAACCAAUGAAUGAAUCUCUAAUCUUAAUUGACAUUUUUUUCAGGAAUCUUUUGAAGAUGAUGAGAAUGUCGGCAGAUUGGAUUAUGACCAUGAGUUCCACUUCAGCUGCAUAAAAAGUUGGUUGAUUAUACAGAAUAAAUGUCCCAACUGUAGAUCAAGUGCGAUCUGACUUUAAAAAUCACUGUAAGGUUUAUGUUAAAAGAUAGAGCAGUGAAGCAUGGUUCUUUCGAAUGUACUUGACUUUAUUGACCAAUCGACGAUGAUCUGAGAUGAUCAGAGAUGAUCGUACAUAGAUUGCAUUCAAUCAAUUUGUAUUUUGUAUGAAUGUAAAUGAUGAUUACAAUGUUUAUUUAUAUCGAUUAGUGAUGAGUUAGUUACACUACAACAACUAUUUAAUUAGUUAUGUUACUUAUGUAAAUAGAUUAGCUUUGCCUAAUCCGUAACACCCCCCUUCAAGUGGAGCGGGAGUUCUGUGGAGCUCUGAUACCAUAUUGACCAAUCGAUGAUGAUCGGAGAUGAUCGGAGAUUUUAUUCAAUCAAUUUGUAUUUUGCAUGAAUGUAAAUGAUGAUUACAAUGUUUAUUUAUAGUGAUGAGUGAUAAGUUAGUUACACAACAAUAACUAUUUAGUUAGUUAUCUUACUUAUGUUAAUGGAUUAGCUUUACCUAAAUUAAACUCGUCUCAUAAAAUGUUGACGUCGGGAUUAUUUAGCAAAAUCUAAUGUAUUGUAUUUAAAUCGUCGUACUGUUCUCAAACCACUGUAUUGUACUGAGGUUCCAUCGAGCCGGCAGAUCUCCUUUCACCAUAUCGGCGGUCAUGUAAGGUUAAUUACUUAAUUAAUACUCUAUUUCUUUUGUUAUAGCUGGUUUUAGACGAAAUCGAUCCAUAAUCAAUUGGAUUGAUGGUACCAAAUCACUCUUCUACUCCAACCUCCAUUUUAGACUGGCUUAUAAGUUUUUCCUAAUGUCUUAACAUUUAUAUAUACAAUUUUUUUGACCAUGAAAAUAUAAAAGUGAAAGGUUGGUUGAUUAAUGUUAUUUUUUUCUUAUAUCACAGAUGGUUUUGGAUGAGGUUGAUAUAGGAUCUUCCGAACAUACGACACAUGAUAAUCGUCCUACUCGAACCUUAAAUAACGGAGAUUCUGUAUCCGAAAAAAUCAUCUCAAAAUAUCUGAAACCAUCUCGAGUUAUGUCUUGUGAUAAAAACGUACUAUGUUCGAUAUGUCAGGUAUUUUGAUUUAUUCAUUAACCUCAAAUGAAUGUUUACAUGAGUGUUUAUAGCAAUUGAUAAACAAGUAGUGACUAACAAAACUGACUAUCUAUUUAGUUAACUAACUAAUACUGUUAUUUUUUCUGAUUCAAUGAAUGGAUCUCUAAUCUUAAUUGACAUUUUUUUCAGGAAUCUUUUGAAGAUGAUGAGAAUGUCGGCAGAUUGGAUUGUGACCAUGAGUUCCACUUCAGUUGCAUAAAGAGUUGGUUGAUUAUACAGAAUAAAUGUCCCAACUGUAGAUCAAGUGCGAUCGGUCUUUUAAAUUCACUGUAAGGUUUAUGUUAAAAGAUAGAGCAGUGAAACAUGGUUAUUUCGAAUGUAUUUGACUUUAUUGACCAAUAGAGAUGAUCGUACGUAGAUUUUAUUCAAUCAAUCUUUAUUUUGCAUGAAUGUAAAUGAUAAUUACAAUGUUUAUUUAUAGUGAUGAGUUAGUUACACUACAAUAACUAUUUAGUUAGUUAUGUUACUUAUGUUAAUGGAUUAGCUUUGCCUAAUCCGUAACAGCCUUAAUUCUUCUCUUUAGAUUAACCUGUGAUUUAAUCUGGGUUGUAAUAGUAGUGAUUAGUAUAAGCUAAAUUGCAUGUACCGAUUGUCUAAAGUUUGUAAAUUUUUUAUGAAGUCAUUUUCUGAUUGUAAAUUCUCAUAAAAUUCUUUUUAGUGGAAGAGAAAUUUAUUUUUAAUCUUCUUUAUAAUUAAACUCGUCUCAUAAAAUGUUGACGUCAGGAUUAUUUAGCAAAAUCUAAUGUAUUGUAUUUAAAUCGUCGUACUGUUCUCAAACCACUGUAUUAUACUGAGGUUCCAUCGAGCCGGCAGACCUCCUUUCACCAUAUCGGCGGUCAUGUAAGGUUAAUUACUUAAUUAAUACUCUAUUUCUUUUGUUAUAGCUGGUUUUAGACGAAAUCGAUCCAGAAUCAAUCGGAUUGAUGGUACCCAAUUACUCUUCUACUCCAACCUCUAUUUUAGACUGGCUUGUAAGUUUUUCCUAAUGUCUUAACUUUCAUAAAUACAAUUUUUCUGACCAUGAAAAUAUAAGUGUGAAAGGUUGGUUGAUUAAUGCUGUUUUCUUCUUCUUAUAUCACAGAUGGUUUUCGAUGAGGUUGAUAUAGGAUCUUCCGAACAUACGACACAUGAUAAUCCUCCUACUCGAACCAUAAAUAACGGAGAUUCUGAUCCGAAAAAAUCAUCUCGAAAUAUCUGAAACCAUCUCGAGUUAUGUCUUGUGAUAAAAACGUACUAUGUUCGAUAUGUCAGGUAUUUCGAUUUAUUUAUUAACCACAAAUGAAUGUAUACAUGAGUGUUUAUAGCAAUUGAUAAACAAGUAGUGACUAACAAAACUGACUAUCUAUUUAGUUAACUAACAAUGACAGUUAUUUUCUCUGAACCAAUGAAUGAAUCUCUAAUCUUAAUUGACAUUUUUUUCAGGAAUCUUUUGAAGAUGAUGAGAAUGUCGGCAGAUUGGAUUAUGACCAUGAGUUCCACUUCAGCUGCAUAAAAAGUUGGUUGAUUAUACAGAAUAAAUGUUCCAACUGUAGAUCAAGUGUGAUUUGUCUUUUAGAUUCACUGUAAGGUUUAUGUUAAAAGAUAGAGCAAUGAAAUAUGGUUCUUUCGAAUGUACUUGACUUUAUCGACCAAUCGAUGAUGAUCUGAGAUGAUCUGAGAUGAUCAGAGAUGAUCAUACAAUGAUUGCAUUCAAUCAAUUUGUAUUUUGUAUGAAUGUAAAUUAUGAUUACAAUGUUAUUUAUAGUGAUGAGUAAUGAGUUAUUUACACUACGAUAAUUAUUUAGUUAAUUAUGUUACUUAUGUAAAUGGAUUAGCUUUCCCUAAUCCGUAACACCCCACCUCAAGUGGAGCGGGAGUUUUGUGGAGCUCUGAUACCAUAUGGACCAAUCGAUGAUGAUCGAAGAUGAUCGUAGAUUGUAUUCAAUAAUCUGUAUUUUGCAUGAAUGUAAAUGAUGAUUACAAUGUUUAUUUAUAGUGAUGAGUUAGUUACACUACAAUAACUAUUUAGUUAGUUAUGUUACUUAUGUAAAUGGAUUCGCUUUGCCUAAUCCGUAACAGACUUAAUUCUUCUUUUUAGAUUACUCUGUGAUUUAAUCAGGGUUGUAAUAUUAAUGAUUACUAUAAGCUAAAUUGCAUGUACUGAUUGUCUAAAGUUUGUAAAUUUUCUACGAAGUCAUUUGAUGAUUGUGAAUUCUCAUAAAAUUCUUUUUAGUGGAAAAGAAAUUUAUUUUUAAUCUUCUUUAUAAUCAAACUCGUCUCAUAAAAUGUAGACGUCAGGAUUAUUUAGCAAUAUCUAAUGUAUUGUAUUUAAAUCGUCGUACUGUUCUCAUACCACUGUAUUGUACUGAGAUUCCAUCGAGCCGGCAGACCUCCUUUCACCAUAUCGGUGGUCAUGUAAGGUUUAUUAUUAUUUAAUUAAUACUCUAUUUCUUUUGUUAUAGAUGGUUUUAGACGAAAUUGAUGCAUAGUCAAUCGGAUUGAUGGUACCAAAUCACUCUUCUACUCCAACCUCCAUUUUAGACUGGCUUUAAAGUUUUUCCUAAUGACUUAACUUUCAUAAAUACAAUUUUUUUGACCAUGAAACUAUAAAAGUGAAAGGUUGGUUGAUUAAUGCUGUUUUUUUUUCUUAUAUGACAUAUGAUUUUGGAUAAGGUUGAUAUAGGAUCUUCCGAACAUACGACACAUGAUAAUCCUCCUUCUCGAACCUUAAAUAACGGAGAUUCUUUAUCCGAAAAAAUCAUCUCAAAAUAUCUGAAACCAUCUCGAGUUAUGUCUUGUGAUAAAAACGUACUAUGUUCGAUAUGCCAAGUAUUUUGAUUUAUUCAUUAACCUCAAAUGAAUGUUUACAUGAGUUUUUAUAGCAAUUGAAAAACAAGUAAUGACUAACAAAACUAACUAUCUAUUUAGUUAACUAACUAAUACAAGCAAUGCCAGUUAUUUUCUCUAAACCAAUGAAUGAAUUUCUAAUCUUAAUUGACAUUUUUUUCUGGAAUCUUUUGAAGAUGAUGAGAAUGUCGGCAGAUUGGAUUGUGACCAUGAGUUCCACUUCAGUUGCAUAAAGAGUUGGUUGAUUAUACAGAAUAAAUGUCCCAACUGUAGAUCAAGUGCGAUCGGCCUUUUAAAUUCACUGUAAGGUUUAUGUUAAAAGAUAGAGCAGUGAAGCAUGGUUCUUUCGAAUGUACUUGACUUUAUUGACCAAUCGAUGAUGAUCUGAGAUGAUCAGAGAUGAUCGUACAUAGAUUGCAUUCAAUCAAUCUGUAUUUUGUAUGAAUGUAAAUAAUGAUUACAAUGUUUAUUUAUAGUGAUUAAUGAUGAGUUAGUUACACUACAACAACUAUUUAGUUAGUUAUGUUACUUAUUGGUGAUACAGUAUCUCGAACCCGGUCACAACCUACCAGCAACUAGAAGUUCGGAUAGCCUAAGAUGAGUUAAGGUACCUAUUCUAGGGUUGGGGAGGUCCGAAGUUGAACCCUUGGAAAAUCGACUUUCCUGAGGAUCGACUUCCCUGGGAUCGACUUCUGAAUAAAGUCGAUCACCAGGAAAGUCGACCCCCAGAAAGUCGAUCUCUGGAAAGUCGAUCUCGGGCCCCAAUCUGAUCAGUUAGGCAGUUAGGCGGUUACUUCCCAAAUGACCAGAUCACCCCCACGAGAACCCCUAUAAAUAGGAGGCAUCCCCACUCAUUAAAGGCAGGUCAUUUGGAGCGAAAGGAUUCCUAGCGAAGCAGAGCUCUGCGCACUUGAGUUCCGGUCCGGUUUCCCGCUUGGCGCUUGCUUGCGCGUCUUGGAGUGUUGGUCGGGUUUCACCCCUAUCACUUAUGUAAAUGGAUUUGAUUUGCCUAAUUCGUAACACCCCCCCUCAAGUGGAGCGGAAGUGAUACCAUAUUGACCAAUCGAUGAUGAUCGGAGAUGAUCGUAGAUUGUAUUCUAUCAAUCCCGACUUAACCACCAGGAGUAAGUUAAGCCGGGCAGGUAAGUGCUUAAUUUUAUCCAAUAAGUAAAUUAUUUAGCCCUACUUAAUCUCAAAAAUAAUUAAUUACAGUAAAUAGAACAAAUAAAAUUUGAGCACGUGGGUCUAUGGGUUUAAACAAAACAAAAAGGAGAUUAUUGCACGUGGGUCUGUGGGUAUUUAGGAAAUUGCAUUGAAACACGCACGUGGGCUAGAACUUAAGUAGGCUGGAAUUUUAAAAUUAAUCCUAGGUAAUAUAAAAUACAAUGCAACGUGGGCUUAAAUAUUUUAAUAUGAUGAUAAUUUGCAUGAAAAAUUCCAAGAUAUUUUUGUUUUUUGGAAAGGGUACUUUAAUAUAAAAGAAAUAGUAUUUUAACAUUUUUAAGACUAAUUAAUCUAAAUCUAACUAAUUAAUUUACCCGCCGGCAGUUAGCCGUUACUAAAUCCCUUCAUCCGUCGCAGUGGAUGAGUAUCAGGAGGGCAUCCCAUUGGAGCAAUGUCCUCCCUUCACUUGGUGUCCGGUGCCUCCUCUUGUAGUUUCUUUCAUCGAAGCCAAUUCCGACCAUGUCGAUGCAAAAUCGGAGGACUACCUGCUUGGGCUCGACCUUGUUCUUGAUUCUUUGGAGGUUACGUUGCUUCCACACUUGGAAUAGAAUCACACCCAACAUUGACCAUUGCAGCCCCCAUGCUGGAGUUCAUGGUAUGAUUUUAUUCAGCACGCCGUCAGCCUCUUCAAAGUUUUUUGCGGCGUCCAGGCUGACCAACGAGCUCGCUGCUUCGAACCCUUCUCUUAGGAUCCAUCUUGAGUACUCACAACUCAAGAAGAUGUGGUGCGCGCUUUCCUGCUCCUUCCCGCACAGUUCAUGUAAAGAGUCCGUAGAUCGUCAUCCCGCGUCGUCUCAGUCUGUCCUUGAUUGGGAGGUUGGCUGACAUGUAUCUCCAAAAAUUGAGCGCGACUUUUGCCAUUUUAACCGCCCAUAUACCUUUUGCAAGUCUAUCCUUUGGGUGAUCCGGACGUAUGGUAGAGACUACAUUCCUGACCAAGCUAGCUGUGUCUUUCCCUAUCUAGCUCUUAACUCCGUUCGAUCCCAGGACCGCGCAUUUUGCAAUUUGGGUUCUCUGACGAAGAGUACGACUAGUUCCAAGAUAAAUGCAAGUACUACAAAUAUAGGACUAGUUUGCAUGAUAAUUUUAAUUCUUACUAUCAUUAUGAAAACAGUAACGGUAAAUGGGAGGGUCACCAUAAAAAAUACGCAAUGUUGUAGGACCAACCUGCAAAAUCUGGGAAAAGUCAUUAAAAAUAUACGUACACGUGGGCACUACUAUAGUCAAUAUAAAAAUAUCAUGGUAGGAAAAGUGAGAAAACGUCAAAUCAGAAAGAAAAAUUACAUUAAAGAAUCAUCACACACAACAAAAAAUACUUAGGGUCAAGGAAGGGAAAACUACAAAAUUACACAUGGGAUGGAGUUGGGUAAAACAACUACACCAAAUUGGAAUAACAACGGAUGAAGUUAGUUACGAAAUUAGGUUAGUUAGUAAUCACAAUCAGUUAAGUAAGAACUGCCUGUAAUUAGUAUAAAUAGAAACACAGAGUAUAUACAAAUACACAAUUCAAGUUUACUACAACGAUUGUUCUUAAUCAUCUUCUUCCUCAACUCCGAUCAACGUCGUGUAAAAUCUCAAUAUGGUAUCAUCGACCGGUAAUGCCGAUGGGGCUAUAGAUUCAGUUUCCACUGCACACAUGGCAUGGAUGGAUUAAAAACCCAGCGUGCUUCCAAAUCUUUUGCAUCUUAUAUAUAUUUAAUUCUGGGAAAACCGUUCCUUGCUUAUCUGUCCACUAUGAAUUUCUGAGGCCAUUAAUCAUUUAUUCAUAUGUCGCUAGCUUAGCAUUAGUAGCUUUAUUCUUGUCCCAUUCUUCUAAUCAUCUGCAACCAAUAAUUAAUUCAUAUCACAGUAUCAAUGUUUAACGAAUGUAUUAAUGUUCAAGUUACAAAUAGAAGAGAGUAAAAAAAAUUAGCUAAACCAACGGAGAGAAAGGGGGGGGGGAAUUAUACUAUGGUUUUAUAUUCUUAAUUUCAUAUAUGAUUGAACUUUAUUUAUGUCAAGCACAUUUAGAUAUAUCAUAGAUUAAAUUUCAUUCCUAAUCUUCUACAAAGAUUUAAGAAAAUAUCAUAUGAUACAACUUUAGUGAAGAUAUCAACCAGUUGUUGGGAGGAGCUUACUUGUAUAAUUUCCAACAAACCUUUAAUGACAAGUUCUCUGACAAAAUGGAUGUCGGUUUCAAUGUGUUUAGAACCUUUCUUUAUAACAGUAUUUUUAGCCAUAAAGAUAGCUGAGUUGUUAUCACUAUUUAUGAGUUGGAUAUAUUUAAGCCUAUGUCCUAAAUGCCUACAAAUAAAGUGUGACCAUCUCAUUUCAGCUGCCAAAGAUGCUACGGCUCUAUAUUCCGAUUCUGCACUUGAUCUAGAAACUGUAUUUUGUUUCUUUGAUGACCAGUUAACAAGAUUUUCACCAAUGAAGAGAUAGUAUUCAGAUGUGGAUUUCCUUGUAUCUGGGUCGCCUGCAAAGUCAGCUUCACAGAAUCCUACCAUCCUGUGAUGAUCAUUCAUAUUUUUUGAAAAAUGAAGCCCAUGACUGAGUGUGCCUUUUACAUAUCUCAUAAUUCUCUUUGCCGCAAUCAAGUGUGAGGUUUUUGGUUCAUUAACAAAUUAGGAAACCUGAUUAAUAGAGUAUGUGAGAUAUGGCCUAGUGAGUGAUAAAUAUUGUAAAGAGCCUACUAGUGCUCUAAAACUAGUCCCUUCAUCCUUAGACAAUUUUGAGUUUGGAAGAACAGGGUAUUUACACGGUUUGCAGUUCAACAUAUUAUUUUUACCUAAAAUGUUAAUUGCAUAUCUUGAUUGAUUUAGUUCGAGAGAUUCAUCAAAAUUAUGAAUCACUUCCAUUCCUAGAAAUUUUUUUAGCAGACCAAGAUCUCUACAUAUGAAUUCUUGACAUAAAUGUUUGAUGAAUUUUUCAACUUAAUUCAUUACUGUUAUUUCCAGUAAUGAUUAAGUCAUCCACAUAUAUUAUAACCCAAAUGAGUAUGUUAUCUUGGUUAUAUACAAACAAUAAGGUAUCUGCUUGACUGUUUGUAAAUUCAUUUAAAACUAAGAAACUUCUAAGUCUGAAAUACCAAGCCUUAGGAGCUUGUUUAAGUCCAUAUAUGGAUUUAUUUAGAUGACAUACUAAACUUGAAUGUUCAGGUUCUACAAAUCCUGGAGGUUGAGCGAUAAAAACUUUUUCUUUUAGUUCUCCUUGUAAGAAAGCAUUCUUGACAUCAAUUUGCCUAAGCCUAUAAUUUCUAUUUACUGCUAGAGACAGGACAAUCCUAAUAGUUGAUGAUUUAACUACUGGACUAUAUAUUAAUCCAUAGUCAAUAUUUUCUUGUUGUUUAAACCCUUGUGCCACUAAUCUGGCCUUAUAUCUUUCUACUGUCCCAUCUGAUUUUCUCUUAACCUUGAAAAUCCAUUUGGUUCCAAUUACAUUCAUGUUUUUUUAGCAGGAACUGGUGAGACAUGUCUGAUUACGUCAGUCACUCCCAGGAACGCCCUUCAACAAGGACUAGGGUUCCGUCGCUUUAUGCCGGACCCCCGAAGAGAUCCACGGUGCGGAGUAAGUGUUUACUUCAAGUAUUAAAGGCAACACCUGGUAAUUGCCGACUGGGACUACCAAGUCGCUGAUUCCAGGAGUGCAUCGUCGCCUCCAGACAGGGCACUCGGGUCUGGUAGACCGAGGACCUGACCACAAGGGAGUCGGCGACUCCACCUCUGAAUCGACGACUCCCAUACCUGAGUCGCCGAUUCCCAGCCAUUACUUGGGAGGGCCCACGUCAUUAUGACACCCUUAAUUGGACACCAUAAUGGAGUGGGCCCCAUGCUAAUGAAUGGGGAAGCGCCCCCAAGACCCUAUAAAAGGGGUCCUUGGGGGUCCUCCACUCCCAGGUCAUUCCCACUUGACAGACCCCAACCAGAGCAAACUAAGGAGACCGAGUCGCCGACUCCCACGUGAGUCGCCGAUUCCCCUCCUCUUCUACAGGUACAUUGACGUAGACUCCAAAGGCUCCGGCCUUCCUCGCUGUUGGAUCGAGAUCCGAGGCUAUAAGGGGGGAUAAUAGCCUCUUUUCGAUUUAUGCAAGUUAAUAGCGGAAUUACCUGCACACACUUAAGUACACAUUGAUAUAUUGAUAAGCAAGUAAAUGACCAGAUAACUGGAUAUAUUGAUAAGCAAGUAAAUGACCAGAUAACUGGAUAUAUAUAUGAUAAGUAAAUGCUUGAACAAAUAUAUGAAUAAGGAUUUAAAGCAAUUAAUAUAACCUCAGAUAGUUGACCAGAUAACUGGAUGAGGGAUCUGCGUAAAGUAGUCAACCUCUGUAUUUGACCAGAUAACUGGAAGAGAGAUCCUUUUCAAUUAAGUGUUGUUUAGUUGUUUUU
rnacentral:lncRNA from 1 species